GGCUGUGUGAUGCGGGAUGCAAGGCUGCCCCGAGACUUCAGUAAUGGAAAGGAGUUUUUAUCAAUACUUUGAAAAAUAAGAAUUUUUCCACGGAUUGCAAAUCCGUGAACGCCGGUUCGAUUCCGACCUCAGCCUCCA
rnacentral:tRNA from 1 species